GUGGCUCAAUGGCAGAGCAACUGACUCUUAAUCAGUGGGUUGAAGGUUCGACGCUUUUC
rnacentral:tRNA from 1 species